rnacentral:rRNA from 1 species
UACGAAGGGGGCGAGCGUUGCUCGGAAUUACUGGGCGUAAAGGGUUCGUAGGCGGUGUGGCAAGUCGGAAGUGAAAUCUCCAGGCUCAACUUGGAGGCUGCUCCCGAAACUGCCGCGCUAGAGUGCGAGAGAGGCCAGUGGAAUUGCAGGUGUAGCGGUGAAAUGCGUAGAUAUCUGCAGGAACACCCGUGGCGAAGGCGGCUGGCUGGAUCGCAACUGACGCUGAGGAACGAAAGCUAGGGGAGCAAACAGG